AAAAGAAAAAUGUGGGGUUCUUUAUUCCAGAAGUGGCUCCGAGGGAGCGUGCGGCUUAGUGUGGUCUUUGUCAGCUUCCACCAUGGUGUACCGUGGCCAGGGCCAAAAGGUGCAGAAGGUGAUGGUGCAGCCCAUCAACCUCAUCUUCAGAUACUUGCAAAAUAGAUCUCGGAUUCAGGUGUGGCUUUAUGAGCAAGUGAAUAUGCGGAUAGAAGGCUGUAUCAUUGGUUUUGAUGAGUAUAUGAACCUCGUAUUAGAUGAUGCAGAAGAGAUUCAUUCGAAAACAAAGUCAAGAAAACAACUAGGCCGGAUCAUGCUGAAAGGAGAUAAUAUUACUCUGCUCCAAAGUGUCUCCACCUAGAAAUGACUUAAUGAAGUGAGGAAUUACUGAGAAGCAAUACAGUUUGUGUUUUUUGUG